rnacentral:rRNA from 1 species
AUUGAACGCUGGCGGCAGGCCUAACACAUGCAAAGUCGAGCGUGAAAGUACUUCGGUAUGAGUAGAGCGGCGGACGGGUGAGUAACGCGUGAGAAUCUGGCUGUGGGUCGGGGACAACCACUGGAAACGGUGGCUAAUACCGGAUGAGCCGAAAGGUAAAGAUUUAUUGCCCACAGAUGAGCUCGCGUCUGAUUAGCUAGUUGGUAAGGUAAAAGCGUACCAAGGCGACGAUCAGUAGCUGGUCUGAGAGGAUGAGCAGCCACACUGGGACUGAGACACGGCCCAGACUCCUACGGGAGGC